UGGGGACUCAACUAAAUAGGACUUCCUGAGUAAUGGCGAAUGAACAGGAAAGUGCUCACCAUGGAAAAUGGAGCCUCUGGCUUUGAUGUGUAGUGUGGAAAUGUACUUCCAACAAGGGUGCAAACACGAGCCUCUUGGAACAAAGCAUCAGUGAAGGUGAGAGUCCCUGCAUGUCUUGCCCCCCUUGUGCACGGAUUGCAAAGUAAGAGUCACGUUCUUCGGGAUUGGAGCGCAAAGUGGGUGGUAAGCUUCACUUAAUGCUACGUAUGAAUUCAAGACCGAUAGUGCACAAGUACCAUGAGGGAAAGAUGAAAAGAACUUUGGAAAGAGAGUUAAAAGUGACUGAACUUGCUGGAAGGGAAGCAAAUGGAAGCAGUGAGGCUGAACAUAGUUACCAUACUUUGCUUUUUGGCAAGGCUUGCCAAUGCAAGUGGCACAGUUUUGCUCAGGGUGUUAAGUGUGGUGUUACUGGCUUUGCUUGUCAAGUUGCAACUCCCUGUCAAAAGUGGCAUUGCAAUUUGCAUCCCUCUCCAUGGAAAGGGCUAGAUUUGCAGCAAUGACUGAUUGGGACUUGUAACUCCUUGUUCACYUAAAGGGUUGCAGAUGCAAGCAAACAAGCACUCAAGCCAACUUGUAGCUAAUGCAGACCUUUCUGUGAGCAAAGGUUUUUUGACCAACAUGGUUUCGUCUGACCCGUCUUGAAACACGGACCAAGGAGUCUAGCAUGUGUGCAAGUGGUUGAUAUGUCUUCUGUUGCCAAAUGAAAGUGACUGCUGGGAUUUUUUGCACCASCACUCAMCUGAUCAAGUGUGAAAGGAUUGAAUGUGAGCACACKUGUUAGGACCCRAAAGAUGGUGAACUAAUGCCUGCCGAAGGGUAAAUUCAGGARAAAUUCWGAUGGAGGCUUGUAGCGCUACUGACGUGCAAAUCGUUCGUCUACAGGGUGGGUAUAGGGGCGAAARACUAAUCGAACCAUCYAGUUAGCUGGUUCCCUCCGAARUUUCCCUCAGGGAUAGCUGGAGCUGAGAGAGUUWUAUCAUGUAAAGCRAAUGAUUAGAGGAAUUCGGGGACMUGACUGUGCCUCGACCYAUUUCYCAAMCUUUAAAUGGGUAAGUUCUAGUGGUUGCCUCAAUGAACUUCUGGGAUGAAUAGCAGCUCUAAGUGGGCCGCUUUUGGUAAGCAGAAUUGGCGAUGAGGGAUGAACCUAACACUGCAUUAAGGUGCCCAACUGAUCGCUCAUCAGAUACCAUAAAGGGUGUUGGUUCAUUUUAACAGCAGGACGGUUGGGUUA
rnacentral:rRNA from 1 species